rnacentral:rRNA from 1 species
CUAUACAUGCAAGUCGAACGGUGUCUUCGGACAUAGUGGCGCACGGGUGCGUAACACGUAUGCAACCUACCUUACAUUGGGGGAUAGCCUUUCGAAAGGAAGAUUAAUACCGCAUAAGACAGUAACUAGGCAUCUAGUAGCUGUUAAAGAUUUAUCGAUGUAAGCUGGGCAUGCGACCAAUUAGCUAGUUGGUGAGGUAAUGGCUCACCAAGGCUAUGAUUGGUAGGGGAACUGAGAGGUCAAUCCCCCACACUGGCGCUGAGAUACGGGCCAGACUCCUACGGGAGGCAGCAGUAGGGAAUAUUGGGCAAUGGACGCAAGUCUGACCCAGCCAUGCCGCGUGCAGGAUGAAGGCGUUAUGCGUUGUAAACUGCUUUUAUACAGGAAGAAACGACUCUUGCGAGAGGCAUUGACGGUACUGUAUGAAUAAGCACCGGCUAACUCCGUGCCAGCAGCCGCGGUAAUACGGAGGGUGCAAGCGUUGUCCGGAUUUAUUGGGUUUAAAGGGUGCGCAGGUGGUUUAUUAAGUCAGUGGUGAAAGACGGUCGCUCAACGAUUGCAGUGCCAUUGAAACUGGUAGACUUGAGUAAAGUAGAGGUGGGCGGAAUUGAUAGUGUAGCGGUGAAAUGCAUAGAUAUUAUCAAGAACUCCAAUUGCGUAGGCAGCUCACUUGGCUUUUACUGACACUCAUGCACGAAAGUGUGGGUAUCAAACAGGAUUAGAUACCCUGGUAGUCCACACUGUAAACGAUGAUAACUAGGUGUCGGCCGAAUCUGGUCGGUGCCACAGCGAAAGCGUUAAGUUAUCCACCUGGGGAGUACGCCGGCUACGGUGAAACUCAAAGGAAUUGACGGGGGUUUGCACAAGCGGUGGAGCAUGUGGUUUAAUUCGAUGAUACGCGAGGAACCUUACCUAGGCUAGAAUGUGAAAGGAUGAUACAGAAAUGGAUCAGUCAGCAAUGACCUGA